rnacentral:snRNA from 1 species
GCAGGACCAGAAUAUUAAACUGAUUUUUGGAAAAUGACGGAGUGCUAGGAGCUUGCUCCACCUCUGUCACGGGUUGGCCCGGUAUUGCAGUACCUCCGGGAUCGGCCCACCUUAA